rnacentral:rRNA from 1 species
GACGGGGCCCGCACAAGCGGCGGAGCAUGUGGAUUAAUUCGAUGCAACGCGAAGAACCUUACCUGGGUUUGACAUAUACCGGAAAGCUGCAGAGAUGUCGGCCCCCCUUGUGGUCGGUAUACAGGUGGUGCAUGGCUGUCGUCAGCUCGUGUCGUGAGAUGUUGGGUUAAGUCCCGCAACGAGCGCAACCCUAUCUUAUGUUGCCAGCACGUUAUGGUGGGGACUCGUAAGAGACUGCCGGGGUCAACUCGGAGGAAGGUGGGGACGACGUCAAGUCAUCAUGCCCCUUAUGUCCAGGGCUUCACACAUGCUACAAUGGCCAGUACAGAGGGCUGCGAGACCGUGAGGUGGAGCGAAUCCCUUAAAGCUGGUCUCAGUUCGGAUCGGGGUCUGCAACUCGACCCCGUGAAGUCGGAGUCGCUAGUAAUCGCAGAUCAGCAACGCUGCGGUGAAUACGUUCCCGGGCCUU